GCCUAGGAAUCUGCCUGGUAGUGGGGGAUAACGUCCGGGAAACGGGCGCUAAUACCGCAUACGUCCUGAGGGAGAAAGUGGGGGAUCUUCGGACCUCACGCUAUCAGAUGAGCCUAGGUCGGAUUAGCUAGUUGGUGGGGUAAAGGCCUACCAAGGCGACGAUCCGUAACUGGUCUGAGAGGAUGAUCAGUCACACUGGAACUGAGACACGGUCCAGACUCCUACGGGAGGCAGCAGUGGGGAAUAUUGGACAAUGGGCGAAAGCCUGAUCCAGCCAUGCCGCGUGUGUGAAGAAGGUCUUCGGAUUGUAAAGCACUUUAAGUUGGGAGGAAGGGCAGUAAGUUAAUACCUUGCUGUUUUGACGUUACCAACAGAAUAAGCACCGGCUAACUUCGUGCCAGCAGCCGCGGUAAUACGAAGGGUGCAAGCGUUAAUCGGAAUUACUGGGCGUAAAGCGCGCGUAGGUGGUUCAGCAAGUUGGAUGUGAAAUCCCCGGGCUCAACCUGGGAACUGCAUCCAAAACUACUGAGCUAGAGUACGGUAGAGGGUG
rnacentral:rRNA from 1 species